rnacentral:rRNA from 1 species
GAUUAACGCUAGCGGCAGGCCUAAUACAUGCAAGUCGAACGGCAGCACGUCCCGCAAGGGAUGGUGGCGAGUGGCGCACGGGUGCGUAACGCGUAUGCAACCUACCUAUAACUGGGGAAUAGCUCUCCGAAAGGAGAAUUAAUACCGCAUGAAAUCACGAGACGGCAUCGCCUUGUGAUACAAAACUCCGGUGGUUAUAGAUGGGCAUGCGUGACANAGCUAGUUGGUGAGGUAACGGCUCACCAAGGCGACGAUGUCGUAGGGGGUCUGAGAGGAUGACUCCCC